UACAGAGGGGGGCAAGCGUUGUUCGGAAUUACUGGGCGUAAAGGGCGCGUAGGCGGCCUUCUAAGUCGAACGUGAAAUCCCUGGGCUCAACCCAGGAACUGCGUCCGAUACUGGAUGGCUUGAAUCCGGGAGAGGGAUGCAGAAUUCCAGGUGUAGCGGUGAAAUGCGUAGAUAUCUGGAGGAAUACCGGUGGCGAAGGCGGCAUCCUGGACCGGCAUUGACGCUGAGGAGCGAAAGCCAGGGGAGCAAAGCGGGG
rnacentral:rRNA from 1 species